rnacentral:rRNA from 1 species
GACGAACGCUGGCGGCGUGCUUAACACAUGCAAGUCGAACGAAGUGGCGAACGGGUGAGUAAUGCGUAAUCAACCUGCCCUUCAGGGGGGGACAACAGUUGGAAACGAAUGCUAAUACCGCAUACGGAAGGAGGGGAUGGCGGCUGAUUGGCUAUUUGGAGGGGUGACGGCCCACCAGGGCGAGGAUCAGUAGCCGGGCUUGAGGGAUGAACGGCCACAUUGGGACUGGGACACGGCCCAGACUCCUACGGGGGGCAGCCGUGGGGAAUCUUCCGCAAUGGACGAAAGUCUGGCGGAGCAACGCCGCGUGAGUGAUGACGGCCUUCGGGUUGUAAAGCUCUGUUAAUCGGGACGCGGUACCGGAAUAGGAAGCCACGGCUAACUACGUGCCAGCAGCCGCGGUAAUUC